rnacentral:rRNA from 1 species
CCUACGGGAGGCAGCAGUGAGGAAUAUUGGUCAAUGGACGAGAGUCUGAACCAGCCAAGUAGCGUGAAGGAUGACUGCCCUAUGGGUUGUAAACUUCUUUUAUAUGGGAAUAAAAUGUUCCACGUGUGGGAUUUUGUAUGUACCAUAUGAAUAAGGAUCGGCUAACUCCGUGCCAGCAGCCGCGGUAAUACGGAGGAUCCGAGCGUUAUCCGGAUUUAUUGGGGUUAAAGGGAGCGUAGGUGGAUUGUUAAGUCAGUUGUGAAAGUUUGCGGCUCAACCGUAAAGUUGCAGUUGAAACUGGCAGUCUUGAGUACAGUAGAGGUGGGCGGAAUUCGUGGUGUAGCGGUGAAAUGCUUAGAUAUCACGAAGAACACCGAUUGCGAAGGCAGUUCACUGGACUGCAACUGACACUGAGGCACGAAAGUGUGGGUAUCAAACAGGAUUAGAUACCCGGGUAGUC